rnacentral:rRNA from 1 species
UACAGAGGUCUCAACCGUUGUUCGGAUUCAUUGGGCGUAAAGGGUGCGUAGGCGGUCGUGCAAGUCGGAUGUGAAAUCUCAGGGCUCAUCCCUGAAACUGCAUUCGAUACUGCGCGGCUAGAGUGCUGGAGGGGAGACUGGAAUUUACGGUGUAGCAGUGAAAUGCGUAGAUAUCGUAAGGAAGACCAGUGGCGAAGGCGAGUCUCUGGACAGCAACUGACGCUGAGGCACGAAGGCCAGGGGAGCAAACGGG